rnacentral:misc_RNA from 1 species
GAGGAACUUGAGGAUGACGCGGAGGCCGCGAAUACGGAGGAAGGAGAACUCAGCACGUGCAUCAUUGAGUCCUGUGCGGAGUGCGAGUGUCACCUCCCUGUAUAGUCUCUGUCGUUCAAGAGAGCUUAUUAGCUCCGCCACCGCCGACGGAGAUUCCGUCUGAGAUUCAGAGUUCGAAUCUUUGCUCCAAAACGGAGCUUUUAGAUACAUUUCUUCGCUCCGGUGUCUUCACCGCUCUUU